rnacentral:rRNA from 1 species
UCACCUGCCGAAGCAACUAGCCCUGAAAAUGGAUGGCGCUCUAGCGUCGUGCCUAUACCGGGCCGUCAACGGCAAAGUGGGCUGGUGCCCGGCUGGUUAACGCCGGCCGGCUCGGCCGUUAAGCCUUGACGAGUAGGAGGCGCGCGGCGGUGUGCGCAGAAGGGUCUGGGCGUGAGCCUGCCUGGAGCCGCCGUCGGUGCAGAUCUUGGUGGUAGUAGCAAAUACUCUAGCGAGGGCCUGGAGGGCUGAUGUGGAGAAGGGUUUCUUGUGAACAGCCGUUGCACAAGAGUCAGUCGACCCUAAGCCCUAGGAGAAAUCCGAUGUUGAUGGGCAGCGAUCACUCGGCCUGGUUUGUGGCGUUGUGCUCGCACACACGCACGCGGCCUACCGACUGCUCCCGUCGGGCGAAAGGGAAUCCGGUUCCUAUUCCGGAACCCGGCUGCGGAACCGUCACUUCGCGGGCACUCGCCUGCGAGCGCUCGUCGGGGUAACCCAACAUGACCCGGAGACGCCGGCGGGAGGUCUGGAAAGAGUUGUCUUUUCUUUAUAAGCGUUCGAGUUCCCUGGAAUCCUAUAGCAGGGAGAUAGGGUUUGGAACGCGAAGAGCACCGCAGUUGCGGCGGUGUCCGGACCUUCCCCCCGGACCUUGAAAAUCCGGGUGAGGGCUACGCGGAAAUGUCGCGCCGGCUCGUACCCAUAUCCGCAGCAGGU